UGCGCAGGCGGGCUUGUAAGUCAGUGGUGAAAUACUGCCGCUUAACGGUAGAACUGCCAUUGAUACUGCAAGUCUUGAAUAUGGUUGAGGUAGGCGGAAUGUGUUGUGUAGCGGUGAAAUGCAUAGAUAUGACACAGAACGCCGAUUGCGAAGGCAGCUUACUAAGCCAUUAUUGACGCUGAGGCACGAAAGCGUGGGGAGCGAACAGGAUUAGAUACCCUGGUAGUA
rnacentral:rRNA from 1 species